UACGUAGGGACCAAGCGUUGUUCGGAUUUACUGGGCGUAAAGGGCGCGUAGGCGGCGUGGUAAGUCACUUGUGAAAUCUCUGAGCUUAACUCAGAACGGCCAAGUGAUACUGCUGUGCUAGAGUGCAGAAGGGGCAAUCGGAAUUCUUGGUGUAGCGGUGAAAUGCGUAGAGAUCGGGUGGAACACCAGGGGCGAAGGCGGCUGCCUGGCCCUGACCCUGACGCUGAGGCGCGAGAGCGUGGGGGAGCAAAC
rnacentral:rRNA from 1 species